CCUACGGGAGGCAGCAGUGGGGAAUAUUGCGCAAUGGCCGAAAGGCUGACGCAGCGACGCCGCGUGGGGGAUGAAGCAUUUCGGUGUGUAAACCCCUGUUGCUCGGGACGAACAACUGGAUUUGUCCAGUCUGACGGUACCGGGUGAGGAAGCACCGGCUAACUCCGUGCCAGCAGCCGCGGUAAUACGGAGGGUGCGAGCGUUGUCCGGAAUCACUGGGCGUAAAGGGCGCGUAGGCGGUCUGCUAAGCGUGUGGUGAAAGGCUCGGGGCUCAACCCCGAGUCUGCCAUGCGAACUGGUGGACUAGAGCACUGUAGAGGCAGGUGGAAUUCCGGGUGUAGCGGUGGAAUGCGUAGAGAUCCGGAAGAACACCGGUGGCGAAGGCGGCCUGCUGGGCAGUAGCUGACGCUGAAGGCGCGACAGCGUGGGGAGCAAACAGGAUUAGAUACCCUGGUAGUCCACGCCGUAAACGAUGGGGACUAGGUGCUUGGGGGAGCGACCCCUCGAGUGCCGGCGCUAACGCCAUUAAGUCCCCGCCUCGGGAGUACGGCCGCAAGCGAGAACGACGAACUAGAGUAGUACGGCGUCGAGACGAGACGACGGACGACGACGAGGGAGGAGG
rnacentral:rRNA from 1 species